AGACGAAGGUGGCAACCGUUGUUCGGAAUCACUGGGCAUAAAGCGCACGUAGGCGGGAUAGCAAGUCGGGUGUGAAAUCCCUCGGCCCAACCGAGGAACUGCGCCCGAAACUGCUAUUCUUGAGGACAGAAGGGGAGCAUGGAAUUCCUGGUGGAGCGGUGAAAUGCGUUGAUAUCAGGAGGAACACCGGCGGCGAAGGCGAUGCUCUGGUCUGUUUCUGACGCUAAGGUGCGAAAGCCGGGGGAGCAAACGGGAUUAGAAACCCUAGUAGUCC
rnacentral:rRNA from 1 species